rnacentral:rRNA from 1 species
GACAGGGGAUGCAAGCGUUAUCCGGAAUGAUUGGGCGUAAAGCGUCUGUAGGUGGCUUUUUAAGUCUGCCGUCAAAUCCCAGGGCUCAACCCUGGCCAGGCGGUGGAGACUACUAAGCUGGAGUACGGUAGGGGCAGAGGGAAUUUCCGGUGGAGCGGUGAAAUGCGUAGAUAUUGGAAAGACCGCCAAUGGCGAAGGCACUCUACUGGGCCACAACUGACACUGAGAGACGAAAGCUAGGGGAGCAAAUGGG